UACGGAGGAUGCAAGCGUUAUCCGGAUUUAUUGGGUUUAAAGGGUGCGCAGGUUGUUUGAUAAGUCAGUGGUGAAAGUCUGUCGCCUAACGGUAGGAUUGCCAUUGAUACUGUUAGACUUGAAUAUGGAUGAGGUAGGCGGAAUGUGUAGUGUAGCGGUGAAAUGCAUAGAUAUUACACAGAACACCGAUUGCGAAGGCAUCUCACAAAGCCGUUAUUGACGCUGAGGCACGAAAGUGUGGGGAGUCAAACAGGAUUA
rnacentral:rRNA from 1 species